UUGCCUUAAAUAAGAUUGCUAGGGAAAUUCUACUGUAGAAAAAAAAACCUCAUUUAACCACAUAAUACUUCAUUAUAAACAAAAAAAAAUAUCCAAAAAAUUAAUAUUAAAAAUAAAUGUUUGGGGUGGACGGACACCCUUUUCACUUAGGUAUGAAAAAUAGAUAGUAGCCGAUUCUCAGACCUACUGAACAUACUAUUGAUACACAAAUAAAACCAAAAAAACAUAGCUGAAUAAUGUAUAGUAUUGUAUAGCUCUCAAAUAUAAUAAUAUUAAGUGUAUAAUCUAUGAUGUAUAGUGAGUAAGUAAGACAGGGACUUUUUGGCGGGAACGCGAGGAGUGAAGUUGUGUGAUGUGUUUUAUUUUGUAUAUUUAGUGUUUCUUCGGGUUUAAAUGUGUAAUAAUGGUGGUUUAUUAACUGUUUAAUAUCUGUGAAAGUGCACAAAUGUGGGAAAAUGAAACAAAGCCGCUGGACGUAACUUCUCGGGAUCCUCCAAAAAGUCCACUCAAAAAAACUGCCGGAAUGUUUUGGACUAUCAUUUCACGUCUCGGAGAAAUGGAGAAAUUGGAGAAGAACCACUUAAUAUCUUUUCACUUUUUGACGCGAGUGUCCGAUCUAGAUCCUGAGACAGAAGUACAGAAGGAACAAGUACAAGACAGACAAGACAGAAGUACAGAAGGCUGACAAAAAAAUCAUCACCAACCUCACAGGACACUUCGGCCUGACGUUUCGGGAAGGAUGAUGACAUUAACGGGCUACAAUGGGCUCCCGCUGAGUCAUAUCAUGAAUAAUUG